UGGGGAAUAUUGCACAAUGGGCGCAAGCCUGAUGCAGCCAUGCCGCGUGUGUGAAGAAGGCCUUCGGGUUGUAAAGCACUUUCAGCGGGGAGGAAGGCGAUAAGGUUAAUAACCUCAUCGAUUGACGUUACCCGCAGAAGAAGCACCGGCUAACCCCGCGCCAGCAGCCGCGGUAAUACGGAGGGUGCAAGCGUUAAUCGGAAUUACUGGGCGUAAAGCGCACGCAGGCGGUCUGUCAAGUCGGAUGUGAAAUCCCCGGGCUCAACCUGGGAACUGCAUUGGAAACUGGCAGGCUAGAGUCUUGUAGAGGGGGGUAGAAUUCCAGGUGUAGCGGUGAAAUGCGUAGAGAUCUGGAGGAAUACCGGUGGCGAAGGCGGCCCCCUGGACAAAGACUGACGCUCAGGUGCGAAAGCGUGGGGAGCAAACAGG
rnacentral:rRNA from 1 species